UACAGAGGUCUCAAGCGUUGUUCGGAUUCAUUGGGCGUAAAGGGUGCGUAGGUGGCGCCGUAAGUCGGGUGUGAAAUUCGAUGCUUAACUCCGAAACUGCAUUCGAUACUGCCGUGCUUGAGGACUGGAGAGGAGACUGGAAUUUAUGGUGUAGCGGUGAAAUGCGUAGAUAUCAUGAGGAAGACCAGUGGCGAAGGCGGGUCUCUGGACAGUUCCUGACGCUGAGGCACGAAGGUCCAGGGGAGCAAACGGG
rnacentral:rRNA from 1 species